rnacentral:rRNA from 1 species
ACGUAGGGUGCGAGCGUUAAUCGGAAUUACUGGGCGUAAAGCGUGCGCAGGCGGGUAUAUAAGUCAGAUGUGAAAUCCCCGGGCUCAACCCGGGAACUGCAUUUGAAACUGUGUGACUUGAGUGUGGGAGAGGAGAGCGGAAUUCCUAGUGUAGCGGUGAAAUGCGUAGAUAUGAGGAGGAACACCGGUGGCGAAGGCAGCUUUCUGGGCCAAUACUGACGCUCAGGCGCGAAAGCGUGGGGAGCAAACAG